ACAUUUCACUGGCUAACAUUCUGGGAAUGUUGUCCAAUGGUAUUGUUUGAUGAGAAUGUUGUGGAAUAUUGUGUGUCUACAGGUGGAAGAGGAAGCUGUGGAUAAGGACAAUAAGAACUGCAGUAAAGAUGGUAUGUGUAGCAAGAAUAUCUUCCAGCUGUUGAGACACAGAAGGGAUGGAGGCACCUAGGAGGAGAGAUCAUCACCUCCUAAACAUGCUCUCCUCCAUCCAUCCCUCUGGUCUGGCUCGGCCCGGAACUACCACCACUACCUGUCCUCACACAACCACUACUACACCAACUACAAACCAACAAACUACAACUUCUACAUAACAAUAACAGCAACUACAGAUCAACAACCACUACACACCAUCAAACUAGAAAUGAACAACUUCUGGACUGACUGAAGGAGAAACAACGACACACACUACAACUGAAGCUGUUAUUCACCAUGAACCCUUGGAUACAACCCAACCACACGAUAUAAACACACUCGACAAGCCAACAGGAAGCUACAGUAGAAACAUAUAGCAGGUUUGUACAGGUGAAUAAGUAACUCUAAAGACUUAGAUACAUGCCUUCAUACAUCGCAUCACCUCUUUGGUCAAAACUCCAUGGAGACCUGUGACUAUUGGCUAAGGAGGCAUACAUCUUGUGGUGGGAUUGGAUGAAGGAGAUGGUUCUCUGGGACGAUAUUGGACAAGGGAUUUGACACAUGCAAGGCCAUUGGGUGUUUUGUGGCCACUUUGGAAUGCUCUGGACUGGAACAGAGUGCAGUGGAAGAAGAGAACAAAAGAGGGAUACAGAUGCUGGAACAGAACCUGUUCUAAAAGAGGAAACAGCUGGUGGUGCUGGAACAGAACCUGUUCUAAAAGAGGAAACGGCUGGUGGUGAUGGAACCGAACCUGUUCUAAAAGAGGAAAAGGCUGGUGGUGCUGGAACAGAACCUGUUCUAAAAGAGGAAACGGCUGGUGGUGCUAGAACAGAACCUGUUCUAAAAGAGGAAACGGUUGGUGGUGCUGGAACAGAACCUGUUCUAAAAGGGGAAACAGCUGGUGGUGAUGGAACAGAACCUGUUCUAAAAGAGGAAACGGCUGGUGGUGAUGGAACAGAACCUGUUCUAAAAGAGGAAACGGCUGGUGGUGCUGGAACAGAACCUGUUCUAAAAGAGGAAACGGCUGGUGGUGAUGGAACAGAACCUGUUCUAAAAGAGGAAACGGCUGGUGGUGCUGGAACAGAACCUGUUCUAAAAGAGGAAACGGCUGGUGGUGAUGGAACAGAACCUGUUCUAAAAGAGGAAACGGCUGGUGGUGAUGGA